UGGGGAAUAUUGCACAAUGGAGGGAACUCUGAUGCAGCGACGCCGCGUGAACGAAGAAGGCUUUCGAGUCGUAAAGUUCUUUUAUAUGGGAAGAUAAUGACGGUACCAUAAGAAAAAGCCCCGGCUAACUACGUGCUAGCAGCCGCGGUAAUACGUAGGGGGCUAGCGUUGUCCGGAAUCACUGGGCGUAAAGGGUUCGCAGGCGGAAAUGCAAGUCAGGUGUAAAAGGCAGUAGCUUAACUACUGUAAGCAUUUGAAACUGCAUAUCUUGAGUAGAGUAGAGGUAAGUGGAAUUUUUAGUGUAGCGGUGAAAUGCGUAGAUAUUAAAACGAAUACCGGUGGCGAAGGCGACUUACUGGGCUCAUUCUGACGCUGAGGAACGAAAGCGUGGGUAGCAAACAGG
rnacentral:rRNA from 1 species